rnacentral:misc_RNA from 1 species
UGUGGACCUCUUGGAUUCCACUUAUCUCUUCACCUGUAUAUGUAUAGACUGUAUUUAAUAAUCCAUAGUUAUAACAAGUUUUAACUAGGUUUGGAUUAGUUUUUGGUUGUGCAAUUAACUUGUUAUAGCCUUGUAGUUUUUGGGUUAGGUAGUCUUGGGUUUUUUCUAAUGUUGUGGUAGAUUUGGGUUUUUGAUUUAAAAAGUUUUGUAUUUUGUAUAGGUUUUCAAUAUAUGUUCGGGAUAUAUGGUUG